CCUGCCGCGUGAGUGAUUAAGGUCUUUCGUCAUCGAAAAGCUCUGUUGCCAGGGAAGAACGCUUGGGAGAGUAACUGCUCUCAAGGUGACGGUACCUGAGAAGAAAGCCCCGGCUAACUACGUGCCAGCAGCCGCGGUAAUACGUAGGGGGCAAGCGUUGUCCGGAAUUAUUGGGCGUAAAGCGCGCGCAGGCGGUCAUUUAAGUCUGGUGUUUAAUCCCGGGGCUCAACCCCGGAUCGCACUGGAAACUGGGUGACUUGAGUGCAGAAGAGGAGAGUGGAAUUCCACGUGUAGCGGUGAAAUGCGUAGAUAUGUGGAGGAACACCAGUGGCGAAGGCGACUCUCUGGGCUGUAACUGACGCUGAGGCGCGAAAGCGUGGGGAGCAAACAGGAUUAGAUACCCCUGUAGUCCCA
rnacentral:rRNA from 1 species